GGCAAAUAACAGGUGACUCUUAUGUUGGAAUGGUCUCUUGUUGUUCCUUUUUAAUGUGGAGAAAGCUGAAGAAGUGGUUAAAGUUUUGUUAUAUUUUGCUUUGACCUAAUACUUUGACAGAGAUCAUCAACUGCAGUUGCAAAAUCCAUCAUGAUAUUUGCUGUAAACAGGAUAUCUAAUUCAGCUGGAGCAUCUCCAUAAAGAUUGUUCUAGGCCUCUCUGGGGAUCUUCAAUGUCCCAGGGCAAACUCUUCACUGUCAACUCUUUUCUGAAAGAGUGCAAUGAUUUCAGGAUCAAUGAUUUCUGAAAAUGAACAUUUUUAAUAAAGCAGCUCUGGACUGUGAUUCCUAACUAUUGGGGCAUUGGCAUUAAAGAAAAGAGAUUGGACAUUUUGAACCUUGUGUGUGUCAAAAUGAAACUUUUUGUCCCUGGAUAUGUUGAGACGGGAAGAAGGAAAAUCUGAUUCUAUGGUUUACUACACUCCAGGAAUUAUCAUCCCUCUAACACCACACAUGAUGGAAAGAGUUUUUUCUUAGGUAAUUUCAGAAGGAAUUUGGUUUUCAAUGUAAUGAAACAUGUACAUGUUCUCCAAUGCUGACAUAGAAAAGAAAGACAAAGAAUGGCUUAAUCACUGACUGUCAAAUAAAUGAAGGCCUAUCAACUGGAGAGAAACUGUUAGAUAAAAGAGAGAGAGAACUAAAACAAAAGAUCUACCCUAGAAGGAAGCACCAUUUUGAUUCUAAAGAUUGUGGGAGUCUCUUGGGCCAUAGAUUCCUAGAGUUGGAAGAGACCUCAAGAUGUGGAGAUGCUGAAAUCUUGUCCAUAGCACCCCUGACAGAUGGUCUCCCAGCCUCUGCUGUCAUAUUUCUUAUAAUGAGAUCACCAUCACACAAGAAGACUCACUUCAUUGUUGAAAGUUCUGGUUAUUUAAAAUUUUUUCCUUUUAUUGAGCCAAAGUGGCUUUAUUGUAACUUCUCUCCUGUUAGUCUGGUUGAG
rnacentral:lncRNA from 1 species